rnacentral:ncRNA from 1 species
UUGGCUGAGUUAGUGAUCGGCUAAGGUUUAUUAUUUAUUUUUUGGAGACAAACAUGUCACUAAGCGUUGAAGCAAAAGCUAAAAUCGUUGCUGAAUUUGCCCGUUGUGA